rnacentral:rRNA from 1 species
CUAAAGCUAAAUAUUGGCCGGAGACCGAUAGCGCACAAGUAGAGUGAUCGAAAGAUGAAAAGCACUUUGAAAAGAGAGUCAAACAGCACGUGAAAUUGUUGAAAGGGAAGCGCUGAUCCCCAGACCUGUUCGCGGAGCGGUCCCCCCCCCGAGGAAUACCACCGGGGGUAUUGACCGCCCGCGGUGCAGGCCAGCACGGGUUCCGGCGGCGGGAGAAAGCGCCCGGGAACGUAACUCCCCCCACGGGGGAGCCUUAUAGCCCGGGCGGCCAUGCCGCCCGCUGGGACCGAGGACCGCGCCCCGGCGAGGGUGCUGGCGUAAUGGGGAUCAUCGACCCGUCUUGAAACACGGACCAAGGAGUCUAACGUCCCCGCGAGUGUUCGGGCGUCAAACCCCGGCGCGGAAUGAAAGUGAACGGAGGUGGGAGCCCCGUCACAGGGGCGCACCAUCGACCGAUCCAGAUGUCUUCGGAUGGAUUUGAGUACGAGCGCGGCCGUUGGGACCCGAAAGAUGGUGAACUAUGCCUGGGUAGGGUGAAGCCAGAGGAAACUCUGGUGGAGGCUCGCAGCGGUUCUGACGUGCAAAUCGAUCGUCAAACCUGGGCAUAGGGGCGAAAGACUAAUCGAACCAUCUAGUAGCUGGUUCCUGUCGAAGUUUCCCUCAGGAUAGCAGUCGCGCGUGCGGUUUUAUGAGGUAAAGCGAAUGAUUAGAGGCCUUGGGGAUGCAACAUCCUUAACCUAUUCUCAAACUUUAAAUAUGUAAGAAGUCCCUGUUGCUUCGGUGAACGAGGACAUGCGAACGCGGCGCGGCUAGUGGGCCAUUUUUGGUAAGCAGAACUGGCGAUGCGGGAUGAACCGAACGCGAGGUUAAGGUGCCGGAAUGCACGCUCAUCAGACACCACAAAAGAUGUCAAUUCAUCUGGACAGUCGGACGGUGGCCAUGGAAGCCGGAACCCGCCAAGGAGUGCGUAACAGCUCACCGACCGAAUGAAUUGGCUCUGAAAAUGGAUGGCGCUCAAGCGUGCUACCCAUACCUCGCCGCCGGGGCAGAAGCGAUGCCCCGGCGAGU